CUUAGGUCCUCCCGCAACGCAAAACUGCGAACCCCGCCAGGCCCGGAAGGGAGCAACGGUAGUGGUGGUCGCGUGUGCCGGGAUGUGGCUUUUGAGG
rnacentral:SRP_RNA from 1 species